UAGCUAGUUGGUGGGGUAAGGGCCUACCAAGGCGACGAUCGGUAGCUGGUCUGAGAGGAUGACCAGCCACACUGGAACUGAGACACGGUCCAGACUCCUACGGGAGGCAGCAGUGGGGAAUAUUGGACAAUGGGGGCAACCCUGAUCCAGCAAUGCCGCGUGUGUGAAGAAUGCCUGAGGGUUGUAAAGCACUUUCAGUGGGGAGGAGGGUUGAUAGGUUAAGAGCUAAUUAACUGGACGUUACCCACAGAAGAAGCACCGGCUAACUCCGUGCCAGCAGCCGCGGUAAUACGGAGGGUGCGAGCGUUAAUCGGAAUUACUGGGCGUAAAGGGUGCGUAGGUGGUUGAUUAAGUUAUCUGUGAAAUUCCUGGGCUUAACCUGGGACGGUCAGAUAAUACUGGUUGACUCGAGUAUGGGAGAGGGUAGUGGAAUUUCCGGUGUAGCGGUGAAAUGCGUAGAGAUCGGAAGGAACACCAGUGGCGAAGGCGGCUACCUGGCCUAAUACUGACACUGAGGCACGAAAGCGUGGGGAGCAAACAGGAUUAGAUACCCUGGUAGUCCACGCUGUAAACGAUGUCAACUAGCUGUUGGUUAUAUGAAAAUAAUUAGUGGCGC
rnacentral:rRNA from 1 species